rnacentral:rRNA from 1 species
CCUACGGGAGGCUGCAGUGGGGAAUAUUGCGCAAUGGGCGAAAGCCUGACGCAGCGACGCCGCGUGAGGGAUGAAGGUCUUCGGAUCGUUAACCUCUGUCAGCAGGGAAGAACGGUCACUGUGCUAAUCAGCAGUGAAUUGACGGUACCUGCAACGGAAGCACCGGCUAACUCCGUGCCAGCAGCCGCGGUAAUACGGAGGGUGCGGGCGUUAAUCGGAAUUACUGGGAGUAAAGCGGUCGUAGGCGGUAUGUCAAGUCAAGGGUGAAAUCCCCGCGCUCAACGUGGGAACUGCCUUUGAAACUGGCGAACUGGAGUGUGCGAGAGGCUAGUGGAAUUCGAGGUGUAGGAGUGAAAUGCGUAGAUAUCUGGAGGAACAUCAGUGGCGAAGGCGACUAUCUGGCACAUAACUGACGCUGAGGAGCGAAAGCGUGGGUAGCGAACAGGAUUAGAUACCCGGGUAGUC